rnacentral:tRNA from 1 species
UUAAUUGAAGCCAAAUAGAGGCGUAUUAAUGUUAAUAAUAUCAUUGAAUUAUAUUAUUCCAAUUAA